GCCAGGCGUGGUGGCGGGCGCCUGUAGUCCCAGCUGCUUGGGAGGCUGAGGCAGGAGAAUCGCUUGAGCCCGGGAGGCAGAGGUUGCAGUGAGCCGACAUCACGACACUGCGCUCCAGCCUGGGCGACAGAGUGAGACUCUGUCUCAA
rnacentral:SRP_RNA from 1 species